UACGGAGGGUGCAAGCGUUAUCCGGAUUUACUGGGUUUAAAGGGUGCGUAGGUGGGUUGGGAAGUCAGUGGUGAAAUACUUUCGCUUAACGAAGGAACUGCCAUUGAUACUAUCAAUCUUGAAUGUAGUGGAGGUAGGCUGGAAUGCGUCAGUGUAGCGGUGAAUGACUUAGAUAUGAACGCAGAACACCAAUUGCGAAGGCAGCUUGCUACACUACUAUUGACACUGAGGCACUGAAAGCGUGGGGAUCAAACAGG
rnacentral:rRNA from 1 species